rnacentral:hammerhead_ribozyme from 1 species
AUCCAGCCAACGAAUCCCAAAUAGGAUGAAACUCGCGUCCUGGAU